GUCUUGACAAAAUUGACAUCCACAGAUUCGGAAUGACCCAAAGAAUGCAUAGACACCAAGAUCAUCAUUUUCUGACGAAUUGUUCAGAAGUUAUAAGCAAAAAAGUGAAUUUUUGGUAUCUCAACACCCAUAGGUGGCGCUGUUCCCAACUUUGGCAUGGACCCUCAGAUCAUGGUGUAGAUGAAGUGUACCAAGUUUGGUUUCGAUUGAUCAAAGUUUGGCCGAGAUACAGCCUCUGAACCGAUGUGAGAUCAACCUAUCUAAGUUCAC
ensembl:lncRNA